AUUGAACGCUGGCGGCAGGCUUAACACAUGCAAGUCGAACGAGUGGCGGACGGGUGAGUAAUGCUUGGGAAUCUAGCUUAUGGAGGGGGAUAACUACGGGAAACAGUAGCUAAUACCGCGUACCAUAGGAUGAGCACAAGUGGGAUUAGCUAGUAGGUGGGGUAACGGAUCACCUAGGCGACGAUCCCUAGCUGGUCUGAGAGGAUGACCAGCCACACUCGAACUGUGACACGGUCCAUACUCCUACGGGAGGCAGCAGUGGGUACUAUUGCACAAUGUGCGCAAGCCGGAUGCGGCCAUGCCGCGUGUAUGAAGAAGGCCUUCGGGUUGUAAAGUACUUUCAGCGAGGAGGCGUUACUCGCAGAAGAAGCACCGGCUAACUCCGUGCCAGCAGCCGCGGUAAUUC
rnacentral:rRNA from 1 species